CUUAAAACCCUGGCUCUACAAUAAGGUGGCAGUACUGCAAAUAGAUACUUUUGCAGCACUCAUGGAAAAGGCUAUCAUAGCUGAACAGGGGAGCGAGGCCAUGAGUCUCUACAACAAGGAGAAAAAGAACCAGGGCAGGACAGGAGGAGCGGUGAAGAUGGAAAGUAGUAGUGGGAAUAGGGGUGAGAAGAGAAUGAGGAGUUUUCCAGGGAAUGUUCAAGUGAAGCAGGAAGGUGUAAAGAAGCAGACAGUGCAGUGCAAGAACUGCGGAAAGAAU
rnacentral:lncRNA from 1 species